GACUCGUCACACUAUCAUUAACUGAAUCCAUAGGUUAAUGAGGCGAACCGGGGGAACUGAAACAUCUAAGUACCCCGAGGAAAAGAAAUCAACCGAGAUUCCCCCAGUAGCGGCGAGCGAACGGGGAGGAGCCCAGAGCCUGAAUCAGCAUGUGUGUUAGUGGAAGCGUCUGGAAAGGCGCGCGAUACAGGGUGACAGCCCCGUACACAAAAGCGCAUGUGCUGUGAGCUCGAUGAGUAGGGCGGGACACGUGGUAUCCUGUCUGAAUAUGGGGGGACCAUCCUCCAAGGCUAAAUACUCCUGACUGACCGAUAGUGAACCAGUACCGUGAGGGAAAGGCGAAAAGAACCCCGGCGAGGGGAGUGAAAAAGAACCUGAAACCGUGUACGUACAAGCAGUGGGAGCACCCUUUGGGGUGUGACUGCGUACCUUUUGUAUAAUGGGUCAGCGACUUAUAUUCUGUAGCAAGGUUAACCGUAUAGGGGAGCCGGAGGGAAACCGAGUCUUAAUUGGGCGUUAAGUUGCAGGGUAUAGACCCGAAACCCGGUGAUCUAGCCAUGGGCAGGUUGAAGGUUGGGUAACACUAACUGGAGGACCGAACCGACUAAUGUUGAAAAAUUAGCGGAUGACCUGUGGCUGGGGGUGAAAGGCCAAUCAAACCGGGAGAUAGCUGGUUCUCCCCGAAAGCUAUUUAGGUAGCGCCUCGUGAAUUCAUCUCCGGGGGUAGAGCACUGUUUCGGCUAGGGGGCCAUCCCGGCUUACCAACCCGAUGCAAACUGCGAAUACCGGAGAAUGUUAUCACGGGAGACACACGGCGGGUGCUAACGUCCGUCGUGAAGAGGGAAACAACCCAGACCGCCAGCUAAGGUCCCAAAGUCAUGGUUAAGUGGGAAACGAUGUGGGAAGGCCCAGACAGCCAGGAUGUUGGCUUAGAAGCAGCCAUCAUUUAAAGAAAGCGUAAUAGCUCACUGGUCGAGUCGGCCUGCGCGGAAGAUGUAACGGGGCUAAACCAUGCACCGAAGCUGCGGCAGCGACGCUGAUGCGUUGUUGGGUAGGGGAGCGUUCUGUAAGCCUGCGAAGGUGUGUCGUGAGGCAUGCUGGAGGUAUCAGAAGUGCGAAUGCUGACAUAAGUAACGAUAAAGCGGGUGAAAAGCCCGCUCGCCGGAAGACCAAGGGUUCCUGUCCAACGUUAAUCGGGGCAGGGU
rnacentral:rRNA from 1 species